rnacentral:rRNA from 1 species
AGAGUUUGAUCCUGGCUCAGAUUGAACGCUGGCGGCAUGCCUAACACAUGCAAGUCGAACGCGAAAGUCGUCUUCGGGCGGCGAGUAGAGUGGCGGACGGGUGAGUAAGGCGUAGGAAUCCACCUUGCAGCGGGGGACAACCCUGGGAAACCAGGGCUAAUACCGCAUGACCUCUACGGAGGAAAGCCGGGGACCUUUUCGGAGGCCUGGCACUGCGAGACGAGCCUACGUCCGAUUAGCUUGUUGGUGGGGUAAAGGCCCACCAAGGCGACGAUCGGUAGCUGGUCUGAGAGGAUGAUCAGCCACACUGGGACUGAGACACGGCCCAGACUCCUACGGGAGGCAGCAGUGGGGAAUAUUGGACAAUGGGGGCAACCCUGAUCCAGCAAUGCCGCGUGUGUGAAGAAGGCCUGCGGGUUGUAAAGCACUUUCAGCAGGGGAGAAAGGCCCUUGAUUAAGAGUUGGGGGUUUUGACGUUACCUGCAGAAGAAGCACCGGCUAACUCCGUGCCAGCAGCCGCGGUAAUACGGAGGGUGCGAGCGUUAAUCGGAAUUACUGGGCGUAAAGCGCGCGUAGGCGGUUUGUCAAGUCGGAUGUGAAAUCCCCGGGCUCAACCUGGGAAUUGCAUUCGAAACUGGCGGACUGGAGUUCGGUAGAGGGGAGUGGAAUUCCACAUGUAGCGGUGAAAUGCGUAGAUAUGUGGAGGAACACCAGUGGCGAAGGCGGCUCCCUGGAUCGAAACUGACGCUGAGGUGCGA